CAGGAACAUACUGUGUUUUCCAUUUCUCUUGAGACAGCCCUGCGACCACAGAGUGCCUAUUCUUCCUGCAGACCAUGGGCCGGAACAUUUUUGUUUUUGGAUCUUCUUGGAAAUCUGGAAGAUCUGCUGACAUUUGACACACUCUCAGUCAUGCUAACCGUCCACUGAAGCUGAGUGUUGGCUGCCUCCUAGCCUGUGCUCCACAGUUCUGCACAGUCUCCCAAGAGAAAGGAGUGUGACUGUGCCUGCUGAAGGCAGAACCAACACGAUUGAGUCACAAAGGAGUAGUGCCAUCACCAGGCCCUUGGACAUAUGCCCCAGCUGACUGCGUGAGCAAAAAAUGGAGCCACCGAUUCACCUAGGAAGGGCCUCACCAUCACUUGCAUCCAGCCCAUACCUCCCUGAAAGGGAAAAGCCUGGAAGACACACAAGUUCUUCUUAAGGAUGUGAGCGAACAGGAACAUUCUGGAGGUAGCUUCAUAGAGUUCUCACCACCCCCCUAUAGGGACUGAAUGAAGUGUGAGAGGGAAGCUGCUCCAGAUGAAGUACAAAGCAGAUACUUAACUUCACCCCCUGCAUCUGCUAUAGAGGUGUUAUUGUCCAAAAGAACUGUGCAAGAAUCAUUUGAGCUGUGUGAAGAACAAAAACUGAAACAUGUAAGUGCCUACUAACAGGAACAUGAAUGAUUAAAUUGUAGCAAUUGGUACAGUGGAUUAUUACAAAGUGGUGAG